UUUAAAAGAAAUACGUCCCUAUUUUGAGAAGGACAAAUGGUACAAAAAUCCAAGUAGUUGUUACAUAUUUUCAUGGUUUUUACUUCAAGUUAAUCAUCCUUACUUAGCAGACUAUUUAUGUGAAGUUUUCUCACCACCACAUAUAUUUAUGUUGGACAGUCAUCAAAAAUGUCAUCAUCUUAUUGCCAUAGAGUGCUUCAGUCAUAUACUUGAUAAUGUUCCUCCAACUUUGAUAAAAAUUGACAAUAGAGCAGAUGUUAUUUAUUCAUUAUUAAAAGGUUACACGCACAGUUCUGAUGAAGAUAUUAUAGCUGCAUUAGCACCUUGUUUUUUAAAAUUGCCAGAUUUCAAGUACCAAAAGGUAAGAUAGAAAUUUUGUUUCA